AAUGAACGCUGGCGGCAGGCCUAACACAUGCAAGUCGAACGAGUGGCGGACGGGUGAGUAAUUUCUGGAAAACUGCGUGAUGGAGGGGUAUAACUACUGGAAACGGUAGCUAAUACCGCAUACCACAAGAUGUGGCCAGGUUGGAGUAGCUAGUUGGUGUGGUAACGGCUCACCAAGGCGACGCUCCCUAGCUGGUCUGAGAGGCUGACCGGCCACACUGGAACUGAGACACGGUCCAGACUCCUACGGGAGGCAGCAGUGGGGAAUAUUGCACAAUGGGCGAAAGCCUGAUGCAGCAAUGCCGCGUGUGUGAAGAAGGCUUUCGGGUUGUAAAACACUUUUGGUGGGGAGGCGUUACCCGAAGAGGAAGCAACGGCUAACUACGUGCCAGCAGCCGCGGUAAUAC
rnacentral:rRNA from 1 species